UACAUUGAAAUCCUCAGUGGC
rnacentral:siRNA from 1 species